CAGCAGCCGCCACGGGAAUACAGAGGGUGCGAGCGUUAAUCGGAUUUACAGGGCGUAAAGCGUGCGUAGGCGGCUUUUUAAGUCGGAUGUGAAAUCCCCGAGCUCAACUUGGGAAUUGCAUUCGAUACUGGGAAGCUAGAGUAUGGGAGAGGAUGGUAGAAUUCCAGGUGUAGCGGUGAAAUGCGUAGAGAUCUGGAGGAAUACCGAUGGCGAAGGCAGCCAUCUGGCCUAAUACUGACGCUGAGGUACGAAAGCAUGGGGAGCAAACAGGAUUAGAGACCCCCGUAGUCCCUGUCUCUUAUAC
rnacentral:rRNA from 1 species